rnacentral:rRNA from 1 species
GAUGAACGCUAGCUACAGGCUUAACACAUGCAAGUCGAGGGACCGGCGCACGGGUGAGUAACACGUAUCCAACCUGCCCUUUACUCGGGGAUAGCCUUUCGAAAGAAAGAUUAAUACCCGAUAUAAAGGAUGGGGAUGCGUUCCAUUAGGUUGUUGGUGAGGUAACGGCUCACCAAGCCUUCGAUGGAUAGGGGUUCGGAGAGGAAGGUCCCCCACAUUGGAAAUGAGACACAGACCAAACUCCUAGGCGAGGCAGGAGUGAGGAAUAUUAGUGAAUGGGCGCUAGUCUGAACAUGCCAAGUAUCGUAAAGAGUGAAGGCUUAUGGGUGGUAAACUUCUUUUAUAUAAGAAUAUGUAUUAGAUGAAUAAGGAUCGGCUAACUCCGUGCCAGCAGCCGCGGUAAUAC